rnacentral:rRNA from 1 species
UCUGCCGCGCGGCGCCGCGGCCUAUUUGUGCAACUGGUGCGAACAGACGAGGAGCUUGCUCCUUAGACGUUAGCGGCGGACGGGUGAGUAACACGUAAGGAACCUACCUAUAAGACUGGGAUAACUGCGGGAAAACGGAGCUAAGACCGGAUAACCUUUCGAACCGCAUGGUUCGAUAGUGAAAGAUGGCUUUGCUAUCACUUAUAGAUGGACCUGCGCCGUAUUAGGUAGUUGGUAAGGUAACGGCGUACCAAGGCAACCAUACGUAGCCGACUUGAGAGAGUGAUGGGCCACGCUCGACAUGCUACACGCUCCAGACUACUACGAGAGGCCGCUGUAGGGCAUCUUCCGCACUGGGCGAAAGCCUGCCGGAGCAACGCCGCGCGAGUGAUGAAGGUCUUCGGAUCGUAAAACUCUGUUAAUAGCGUAGACCAAACGUUGAAGUAACUGUGCACGUCUUGACGGUGCGUAAUUGGAAAGCCACGGCUGGGUACGUG